CAAAGUUUAGUUGUACUGAUUUUUAAGGGAUUCUAGCCAUGGAGCGAGAACCAGCUUCACUUAGUGGCUAGGUGCUUGUUUUUACUGUGCACAAGUAAGAAAAUAAAAUCAUUCAGGACUUGACUGCAUCUCCCAUGCAUCCUGAGGGAUGCACUUCUUAGGAUCUUUCUCAUCCUGUUUCCCCUGUCAAAGGAAAUCAGGUAAGGCAUCAGGCUGCUUGAAGGUGUUUUAUGUGAACAAGAGGGUUUUUGGGGGCGUACAGCAACCAAUGCAGUAGUAAUCUGACAUUUGCAAAUAAUGCCUAAAAACUUGCUCUUUGGCCCUUCCAGGAGGACAAGGUGGCAGGUGAGGGGUGCCUGGUACGAAGCCUGGAGCUGCGAGCACGGCACCUGGCCAGUCUCCCUCCAGGGAGGAUUUUGGCCACUAGUGUGUGACACAGCUGGCCUGCUGGCCGGGAGGGUGAGCUGUGGCAGCCACUGUGAGCACCAUCACAUCACAAGGAGUGGAGCAAACCCACCCACCCAGGAAACCGAGGGGAAUCAGGAGCAACUGGCACAGUGGCUGCUUUAGGAAAUGUGCUGUGGAAUUGGAUAGAGAAUCAGGGAGGAGAGGAUGAGCUCGUCCGAGAGGAGCACGUGCUUAAACUGCGAUGGUACGAACGGGGAACUACAGCAUCUUCACUUCGCUCACCAUGGUCUGCUCAGCUUUGCUGUGAUGGGAGUUAGUGACAAAGCUUGCAUUGAUUUGCACAGAGCAGAGCGAGGUCACCGCGCACCCAGGUCACAAGUUCACACACCGCUUUUGAAGGAGUUUGGCAGAAUAAAGCAGUGGGAAGGAAACGGGAGACUUGGAAUCAGGCAGAAGAACAAAUGAGGAUACAGACGUGUGAGGGAGGUGACGGCGUGUUUCUCGGUGUGUGAUCAGCUGCCCACUGGAGGUGGAAGGAGAAGAAACUCAGACCCAAGGAAACGCAACGGCAUCAUCAACGAGGUUUGCAGCUCGGGGGCUGAAACCACUGGAAAAGGAGGGAAGUGGAAUCCCAGCAUCACUGCUUCACUGGUGCAGAGACUGAACGUGCAGUGAGUCAACAACUGCACCUGGGUCCCAAACCCUCCAGUUUUGGGAACGAACCAGGGUUCAAAGGUGGCCAGAAACUGUCUAGCACCAGCUACAGCAAGGCCAUCAGGUUUACACUGAGCCCACGUGCCUGGCUGUAUGACCUUGGCUGCUGCUCAAGUCCUCCUUUCAGGAGCAAGUCAAGACAUGACUGAAAUACAGUUGUGCCUGCUGCUGCAAAGCCCCAACCUCUGCCUCAGGUGCCUUUGUACAUCUUGCUAGCAGUAAUGGGAGUUACUUCUGCCGUGGGGAGAUAGACAAAUUAUGGCCUUGUCCUUCAGAAACUUCCAUCUGCCACUGAG